GAACCGGACGAACGUUAUUCGGAAUCACUGGGCUUAAGAGUGCGUAGGCGGCCUGGCAGGUUGGGUGUGAAAUCCCUCGGGCUCAAACCGAGGAACUGCGCUCAAAACCGCCAGGCUUGAGGGAGAUAGAGGUGAGCGGAACUGAUGGUGGAGCGGUGAAAUGCGUUGAUAUCAUCAGGAACACCUGUGGCGAAAGCGGCUCACUGGGUCUCUUCUGACGCUGAGGCACGAAAGCUAGGGUAGCGAACAGGAUUAGAUACCCUGGUAGUCCUAGCUGUAAACGAUGAGCACUGGAUCGAGGGGACUUCCACAUCUUCUUGGUCGUAGCGAAAGUGUUAAGUGCUCCGCCUGGGGAGUAUGGUCGCAAAGGCUG
rnacentral:rRNA from 1 species